rnacentral:lncRNA from 1 species
CGAGUGGUCUUGGUUACUAAAUGGUUUAUAUAGUCGAACUACUACUAACAUGUCAAAAAUCAGGUUUUGAGUUCCUACUCGUUGGAGGUGCGAUAAAUUCUUAUUGACUAGGAUCAGCAAUUUUCUACAUACGGUAUGUGGUACUCGCUGGGCACUCCGGCUUCCUAAUUCGAUAAAACUGACGGCCACGUAAUACCACAA